rnacentral:rRNA from 1 species
GACGAACGCUGGCGGCGUGCUUAACACAUGCAAGUCGAACGGACAGGCCCGGCGCUUGUGGGGUGCUCGAGUGGCGAACGGGUGAGUAACACGUGAGUAACCUGCCCUUGUCUUUGGGAGAACUUCAGGGAACUGGGGCGAAUACCGGAUAGGAGCUCCUGCUGCAUGGUGGGGGUUGGAAAGUUUCGGCGGUGUGGGAUGGACUGGCGGCUUAUCCGCUGCUUUGUGGGGUAGUGGCUUACCAGGGCUUCGACGGGUAGCCGGCCUGGGAGGGUUACCGGCGUCCAUAGGCCUACGAGACGGACCAGACGGCAACGGGACGCAGCAGUGGAGAAUAUUGCACAGUGGGCCGAAGCCUGUUGCAGCGACGCUGCGUGCGGGAUGCCGUCUUUCGGGUUGUGAACCGCUUUCUAAGUUAACGAAGACUGCGUGACGGUAAUGGGUAAAGAAGCACCGGCUAACUACGUG